AAGCUCAAAUUUGAAAUCUGGCACCUUCGGUGUCCGAGUUGUAAUUUGAAGAAGGUAACUUUGGAGUUGGCUCUUGUCUAUGUUCCUUGGAACAGGACGUCACAGAGGGUGAGAAUCCCGUGCGAUGAGAUGCCCAAUUCUAUGUAAAGUGCUUUCGAAGAGUCGAGUUGUUUGGGAAUGCAGCUCUAAGUGGGUGGUAAAUUCCAUCUAAAGCUAAAUAUUGGCGAGAGACCGAUAGCGAACAAGUACAGUGAUGGAAAGAUGAAAAGAACUUUGAAAAGAGAGUGAAAAAGUACGUGAAAUUGUUGAAAGGGAAGGGCUUGAGAUCAGACUUGGUAUUUUGCGAUCCUUUCCUUCUUGGUUGGGUUCCUCGCAGCUUACUGGGCCAGCAUCGGUUUGGAUGGUAGGAUAAUGACUAAGGAAUGUGGCUCUACUUCGGUGGAGUGUUAUAGCCUUGGUUGAUACUGCCUGUCUAGACCGAGGACUGCGUCUUUUGACUAGGAUGUUGGCAUAAUGAUCUUAAGCCAC
rnacentral:rRNA from 1 species